rnacentral:rRNA from 1 species
UACGUAGGGUGCGAGCGUUAAUCGGAAUUACUGGGCGUAAAGCGUGCGCAGGCGGUGAUGUAAGACAGAUGUGAAGGCCCCGGGCUCAACCUGGGAACUGCAUUUGUGACUGCAUCGCUGGAGUGCGGCAGAGGGGGAUGGAAUUCCGCGUGUAGCAGUGAAAUGCGUAGAUAUGCGGAGGAACACCGAUGGCGAAGGCAAUCCCCUGGGCCUGCACUGACGCUCAUGCACGAAAGCGUGGGGAGCAAACAGG